GCCUGGAUGGCGGAAUGGCAUACGCGAUGGUCUCAAAAACCAUUGGUCUUACGAUCUUGUGGGUUCAAGUCCCACUCCAGGCA
rnacentral:tRNA from 1 species